CUUGCUGCCUAAUCAACACUACACACCACUUCCUUCUCUGGAGGGGGCGAUGGAGAGAGAGAGAGUGAGAGAGAUGGAGGGAGUGAGACAGAAGGCUGCGAGGCCCGUGUCAGGUUACAGAACUAAUCGUGCCGCUGAUGUAAUGCUACAGCGUGCUCAGGCAUUUCAUCUGCUCAGACUGGGAGUGUGUUGGGGGGGGGGGGGCUCUCAAUGAUAAAUGUACAUCCAAGUGCGUAGCACAAAAUUCUGUAUCCCAGUAUACAGGCACACACCUGCAAGAACACACACACACACUGACACUGAUUCACAUAGCAAUACAUGCACAUACAACUAAAUGUAUUGCCCCAGCUUGCUCAUUUUGCACACACACGCACAAAAAGAUAAAAAUGUGUAUGUACACAAUAUUACCACAACCUUCAUUACAGUAUAUUUAGUUGCACCCAAGGCAUUUGCAAAAUUAAUACUUUAUGUAUUAGCAAUCCAGUCACACCUUUUAAAUUUACACCUGGUAUUUGUUUGUGCACAUUACUUUAUAGGGUUUGGACCGGAUCUCAUUUUGUGCACAUGAAGCAAAGCAUGUAAAAAAGUGAGAAAGUUACACUGUCAAAGAAAACAAGUAGGGCAGGUGUAUGGACAUUGUUCUUUGUUCUCUAUUUCCUUAUCAUGACAUUUUGGAGGCCACAGGAAGGACAAGUUGCAGAUGAUGUGAAUGCCACUACAGUGUUGUCCAUAAAGGAAAGGUACAGUAACUAGUAGCUGCCUUUUGGUGAAACUGAGUAGAAUGGGCCAUGUGUUUCUGCCCAGUGGGCAGAACUUUCUCAUGAAUGCGAACACUGCACAGAUUGUGUUCACACGUGGCUGACUCUGGCAGAGAUCUGAUCACAUUCUGCUUGCAACACUGCAUGCAGUUACACUUUUCUUCACCCGCAGAGGUGAAUCAUCGCCACUCUGAAAAUCUUGACGGAUAAUCUCAACAAAAACUGAGGAUUGUGAACUUCACAAAGGCCUCGCUGGGAUCCAUGGCGUGGCCGUAGGCUCCCUAUGUGCUUUCAGACCAGUCAAGGGGAAAAAGAAGAGAAGAGAGAGAGACAGACAGAGAGCCUGGGAAGUGCAACAGGUGUAAUGCUCACUGUGCACUGACUGCCAGCUCUGCACAGACGUCAGCAGUCUUACAUAACCAAGAGGACUUGGAAAAGUAAAAUAUACUGAACAAUCACAGACUUUGUACAAACAUGCAAGUGAGUAAAUAAUGUUAUCUCCUGCACGUUGAAAACGUCCCCAUAAUUAUUUGUUAAUAUGACAUCACCCACUCAGGGUGUGGCUUUUCUUGACCUGCUCAAAAAGAGUAAUAGGCAGCACACAACAUGCACAGUGAGUGCAAGGCAGAUAGGCCAAACAAUCAUUUCGUUUGGACCGCAUAAUAUUUAUUGGCUUACAUCUCUUUUAAAGAUCUUCAGGUUUAUUUUACAAGUAGACAGAUCAGCUUCUUGUGUCAUAUCAAAUACAAUCAGUUUUUCAUAUUCAAUUCAGUAAAAUGCCUUAUUCUUCAAAGAGAAAUUAUGAAUGAGAAGUGUGUGUUAUUAAUUGUUUAAUCAAUACGCUUUAUGUUUUUUCUAUGAAUUGAUGUAGCUAGGCUAUAUGGAACUAAUUGAUUAAUCGACUAAUUUUUUUCCAGAAUACUUCAAAUGACAAACUUUACAUCAGAUGCAUGCACUAUAAAAUAUAUUUGUGAAUGAAAUAAUAUUGUCACUAUUCCAAGCUGCUUUUUGAAAAUGAUUGUGACCACCUGCAGCAUAUGUUUUUAGCCAACAAUAUGUUGGUUUUUUUUAAAUAAAAUGCUAAAAGAAACAAAUGCUAACGGAACCAGUUUUUUUCAAAGCUUGUUUAAUGAAACAAAACAACAAAGAGAGCCUUAUUUUUUCAGCCAGGUGUGUGGAUAGGGAAAAGGAAAAUAAAAACACACUCAUGCCCUAAACUGUC